CAUAAAGCAAGCUCCCAACUCUAGUUCUCCAGGCAAUUCAUCCAGGCUGUCCCCUGCAAGCUGCUCAGCCCACCAGAUCUGCUUUGGGGAGCGCAUUAAACAUGGUUAUGCAAUGAUUGGGUGGCGGAUGCCAUAGACAUCUGGCCCUAUGACAAGCAUCACUUUGACAGCUGCAAAAACGGACUCAAGUAAAGCAAGGAUGGAAGCACAGGACAGAAGCAUCGAAGUGAAGGGCCAGGCGUGGUGGCUCAUACCUGUAAUCCCAGCACUUUGGGAGGCCGAGGCAGGUGGAUCCCUCGAGUUCAGGAGUUC
rnacentral:lncRNA from 10 species